CCAAUUUACCGAGGAUUGCACCUUAGGUGGAUACCAUGUCUCUAAAGGCACCCGUUUAAUAAUGAACCUUUCGAAGAUCCAAAAGGAUCCAAGAAUUUGGUCAAAUCCAACAGAAUUCCAACCAGAGAGGUUUCUCACCACCCAUAAAGAUGUUGAUCCUUGGGGAAAACAUUUUGAAUUUAUACCAUUUGGAGCUAGUCGAAGAGUAUGUCCAGGAAUAACUUUUGGUCUUCAAAUAUUACAUUUAACAUUAGCUAGUUUCUUACAUGCGUUUGAAUUUUCAACUCCAUCAAAUGAAUAGGUCGAUAUGCGCGAGAGCCUUGGACUUACAAACAUGAAAUCUACCCCACUUGAAGUUCUCAUUUCUCCACGCUUAUCUUCUUGUAGUCUUUACAAUUAAAACAUUGAAACGAAUAGGUCAAGUCGGUCUUGCUAGUCUUGGUUUAAAGACAUAUGGAGUUAGGUUCAAUCAAUCUAUGACAAGAUUUGGGAUUGUAUUAAAAGUAGGUUGGACUAAGAAUGAUGUAUAAUAAACUAAAGUACUAUUUAUGUCAAUAAAGUAUAGCUUUAUAUAUUAUUUGGUUAUCCUUGCUCUCCGUCUAGGCUCUCAUGGGUGCAAGGCCUACCCAUGAGGCCCUUUUCUCCAAAUUUGAGUCAAGUGGCUAAGGGGCUUACAACUAGCUUCUUUGCCAUAGACAAAUUUUCUUUUGUUUAUAUGUUUUAAUUGAUGCAUAUUCACUUUCUUCUUUUCUUAAUUAAAUUGCAAUAAUUAAACAUACAAUUUAAAUAAAUUUUAAAUUUUAUUUUUAACUAAAAACAAAAGUAUACAGAUACAAAUAUAUACUGCUUAAGUAAUUAAUUUUUAAAAAUUAUCCUUUGAGAACAUCUCAGACAAACUGAGACAUGCUUCCAGAGAAAUCUAAAUGUAAUGUUUUUAAAAGCUACUUUGUAAUUUUAUUUUCGAGCAUGUUGCAUAAUAUAUACUUUCCUUGAAUUGAUUUUCCAAACUAUAUUUUUAUUAGCAAUAAGGGUUAUCUACGUUUUGGAAAUUAUAAGUUAAUUAUGUUCACUUGAAUAAGAGAUUUGAACAAUCUUGUAAAAAGAUGAUAUAUAUAUAUAUAUAUAUAUAUAUAUAUAUAUAUAUAUAUAUAUAUAUAUAUAUAUAUAUAUAUAUAUAUAUAUAUAUAUAUCGUAUGGCUGAUUUGGAAAUUAUCCAAAAUGGAAAAAAAUACUAUUAUUUUGGUACAAGACCAUAUUGUUCAAUAGUGUCUCUAGAGAGUUCCAUUAGAUGCUAUCAAACAAAUAAUUUGGUGUCUCACUUGCAUAAUUUUGAAUUGUUCGAUUUUGGGUUUUGCAGGCUCUAAUUGUCGGAGGUAACAAUACAACUGUUGUCUCUUUAACAUGGGCACUCUCUCUUUUACUAAACGUACAACCACGACAUCUUAAAAAAGGCUCAAGAAGAAUUAGAUAUCCAAGUUAGCAGGGAAAGAUUAAUGAAUGAACAAGAUAUAAGUAAGUUGGUCUAUUUUCAAGCCAUUGUUAAAGAGACAUUACGGUUAUAUCCACCAAGACUACUUGGUGGACUAUGCCAAUUUACUAAGGAUUGCACCUUGGGUGGAUACCAUGUCUCUAAAGGCACCCGUUUAAUAAUGAACCUUUCAAAGAUCUAAAAGGAUCCAAGAAUUUGGUCAGAUCCAAUAGAAUUCCAACCAGAGAGGUUUCUCAUCACCCAUAAGAAUGUUGAUGAUUGGGGAAAACAUUUUGAAUUUAUUUCAUUUGGAGCUGGUCGAAGAGCAUGUUUAGGAAUUGCU
rnacentral:lncRNA from 1 species